UGUCCGGUUUGAACCUUCUGUGCCGGCUGGCCAUGAUUUGCAGCAGGUAUCUCCGAGAGCAGAUGAUACGCAGCCAGUUGCGUUUCAUGACCAAACGGCAUGUGAAGCGUGCCCUGCG
ensembl:ncRNA mir-4959 mir-4959 stem loop